AUGAGUUACUUUAACAAUCAGCAGCAACAGGCACCUAUAUCAUAUCCACCACCAGCUGAAGCUUAUUCUACGUCUCAAUAUGUAACUGCACCACCACCUAUGGGUUACCCUUCCAAGGAUGGUUCUGAAAGCUAUCCUCAACAAACAAUUCCAGAUCAAACAACUACCAGAGGUGAUGGUUUCUGGAAGGGAUGUUGUGCUGCUCUAUGUUGCUGCUGUGCCAUAGAUGUCUGCUUUUAA